GAGUUCAUACCAGCUUUUCCAGGCUCAGUCACUUCAUCAUAUAUCGUCAUUAUUGCCUUUCACUUGCACGACUGAAUGAUGAGAACAAUAAUAAGAGUGUUCGUGCAUUGGACUAAGUUGGAAUCUGCAAGCAAACACAAAGGAGAAGACAAAGUAAUAUGGCUCUUUGACAAAUAAGCAUAUAUGCAUGCGAGAGCCACUAAACAUUG
rnacentral:lncRNA from 1 species